AUUUUAAUUUAAUUGUAGUUUUUAGUUAGGUUUAAUGUUAAUUGUAAUCUGAAGCCUUCCGAGUGUUAAAAAAUCAAUGUUCGUCUAAUACUGGGGGUUUAAUGCUAGGAAGAGUUCUGUCGAUGUCUUAGGACUUAGAGAUCCCUUUAUCUUUAAUUACUUAUAGUCGUCGUAUCAAAAUGAAGAAGAACAACAACCUUCAGUGUAUCUUUAACAUUGUACCUAAGCACUUAUGGGCUAAGUUUCAUUAUGUAUAAUAAUUAAAACACAAAUGAAUUCCA